rnacentral:rRNA from 1 species
ACGGAAGGCAGCAGUGGGGAAUAUUGGGCAAUGGACGCAAGUCUGACCCAGCAACGCCGCGUGAAGGAAGAAGGCUUUCGGGUUGUAAACUUCUUUUGUCAGGGAAGAGCAGAAGACGGUACCUGACGAAUAAGCAACGGCUAACUAAGUGCCAGCAGCCGCGGUAAUACGUAGGUGACAAGCGUUGUCCGGAUUUACUGGGUUUAAAGGGCGUGUAGCCGGGUCUGCAAGUCAGAUGUGAAAUCCAUGGGCUUAACCCAUGAACUGCAUUUGAAACUGUAGAUCUUGAGUAUCGGAGAGGUAAUCGGAAUUCCUUGUGUAGCGGUGAAAUGCGUAGAUAUAAGGAAGAACACCAGUGGCGAAGGCGGAUUACUGGACGACAACUGACGGUGAGGCGCGAAAGCGUGGGGAGCAAACAGGAUUAGAUACCCUGGUA